CUGGCUCAGGAUGAACGCUAGCGACAGGCUAACACAUGCAAGUCGAGGGGCAGCACGGGAGUAGCAAUACAACUGGUGGCGACCGGCGCACGGGUGAGUAACGCGUAUGCAACCUACCUAUCAGAGGGGAAUAACCCGGCGAAAGUCGGACUAAUACCGCAUAAAACAGGGGCACCGCAUGGUGAUAUUUGUUAAAGAAAUUCGCUGAUAGAUGGGCAUGCGUUCCAUUAGGUAGUUGGUGAGGUAACGGCUCACCAAGCCGACGAUGGAUAGGGGAACUGAGAGGUUGGUCCCCCACACUGGUACUGAGACACGGACCAGACUCCUACGGGAGGCAGCAGUGAGGAAUAUUGGUCAAUGGGCGAGAGCCUGAACCAGCCAAGUCGCGUGAAGGAAGAAGGAUCUAUGGUUCGUAAACUUCUUUUGCAGGGGAAUAAAGUGCGGGACGUGUCCUGUUUUGUAUGUACCCUGAGAAUAAGGAUCGGCUAACUCCGUGCCAGCAGCAGC
rnacentral:rRNA from 1 species